CCGAGCUGGGCUUCCCUGAUUCGUUGCUGAUGACAGAGCCAUUCUCACUGGGCGACCUGCUGGAGGUAACCAUAGCAACAGGGAGACGGACAAAGCAGACAUGACACAAGCAGAGAGCUGAGAAGUGCUUGUGCCUUUGGGGCUUGUUUGCUUGCUGGCCAUGGAACCCUGUAACCACCCUGUGAGAGAGCCAGGGCCAGCCUGCUGGAGGAUGCCAGGAGGCUCUAGUCACCUGGCCGCCCCAGACAAGGUGGUCAUCAACAAGCAAGCCCUGUGGACCCACUACCUGACUACAGAAGCAUGAAUGAGCCCAGCUGAGAUCAGCCAAGCCUAGCUCAGACUAAAGAACCACCUAGCUGAGCUCAGCCUAAACUGCUGGCCCAUCAAAAAUCAUGAGCUCAAUAAAUGGUUGUUGUUUUGAGCUGCUAA